rnacentral:rRNA from 1 species
CAAUAGCGUAUAUUAAAGUUGUUGCAGUUAAAAAGCUCGUAGUUGAAUUUCUGUCAGGAGUGACCGGGCCUUUGGAUGAACUUCCAUUGUUUUUUGCUCUGUUUGUCAUCUCUAGACAUCCUAAAUUACAUUUAAUGUAAUUUUCUUUUACUGUUAGCAAAAUAGAGUGUUCCAAGCAAAGCGUAGUUUUGAAUACAUUAGAAUGGAAUAAUAAGAUAGGACUUUGGUGCUAUUUUGUUGGUUUGCACACCAAGGUAAUGAUUAAUAGGGACAGUUGGGGGUAUUCGUAUUUAAUUGUCAGAGGUGAAAUUCUUGGAUUUAUGAAAGACGAACUACUGCGAAAGCAUUUACCAAGGAUGUUUUCAUUGA